CUGCUGCCUCCCGUAGGAGUUUGGGCCGUGUCUCAGUCCCAAUGUGGCCGUUCACCCUCUCAGGCCAGCUACUGAUCGUUGCCUUGGUAGGCCAUUACCCCACCAACUAGCUAAUCAGACGCGGAACCAUCGUAUACCACCAGAGUUUUUCACACCGCUUCAUGCGAAGCUGUGCGCUUAUGCGGUAUUAGCACCUAUUUCUAAGUGUUAUCCCCCAGUAUACGGCAGGUUUUCCACGCGUUACUCACCCGUCCG
rnacentral:rRNA from 1 species